CACUCAACAGCUAGCCCUACCAUAUACUUCAACACUCAACUAUUUAUACCCUAAAAAACACUUAAUACAUCAACCAAACCAUUUUACCGCUUUAGUACAGGAGAUGAAAAAAGAACUAGGCGCAAUAGAAAAAGUACCGCAAGGGAACGCUGAAAAAGAAAUGAAACAACGCAGUAAGGUAACAUAAAGCAGAGCUAUUUCCUCGUACCUUUUGCAUCAUGUUUUAGCCAGAGCCCCUCAAGCAAAAAGCAUUUUAGUUUGACUACCCGAAACCAGACGAGCUACUUCAAGAUAACCUAAUAAAUAGGGCCAACCCGUCUCUGUGGCAAAAGAGUGGGAAAAGCUUCAAGUAGAGGUGAUAAACCUACCGAGCCUGGUUAUAGCUGGUUACCUGAAAAUUGAAUAGAAGUUCAGCCCCUUGAAUUCUCAAGCCCAAACUGGCUACCCUCAGCUAAGACUAAAAGAAAUCUAGAGAGUUAUUCAAAGGGGGUACAGCCCCUUUGAAACAAGACACAACUUUUACAGGCGGAUAAGGAUCAAAUUUACCAAGGUUAAAUACCCAGGUGGGCCUAAAAGCAGCCAUCCUAGAGAAAAGCGUUAUAGCUCAAGUAUAGACACAACUAAUAAUUCUGAUAUUCUAUCCUACUCCCCUAACCCUAUCAGGUCCUCCCAUAUCCUUAUGGGAGUGAUCAUGCUAAUAUGAGUAAUAAGAAAGAACACUUUCUCCCCGCUCAAGUGUAACUCGGAACGGACCCCCCACCGAAAAUUAACGGCCCCAAUAAAAGAGGGAAUUAGGCUAUAAAACAAAGAACUAGAAAACCACCCAUAAAUUACCGUUAACCCCACACUGGCGCGCCCCAUGGAAAGACUAAAAGAAAAAGAAGGAACUCGGCAAAAUUAUCCACAAGCCUCGCCUGUUUACCAAAAACAUCGCCUCUUGUCACCAAAAAAUAAGAGGUCCCGCCUGCCCUGUGACUAUAUGUUUAACGGCCGCGGUAUUUUGACCGUGCAAAGGUAGCGCAAUCACUUGUCUUUUAAAUGAAGACCCGUAUGAAUGGCAUAACGAGGGCUUAACUGUCUCCUUUUUCUAGUCAAUGAAAUUGAUCUCCCCGUGCAGAAGCGGGGAUACAACCAUAAGACGAGAAGACCCUGUGGAGCUUUAGACAACAGGGCAGACCAUGUCAAUAUAAUCUGAUUAAAGAACAAAACCAAUUGGACCCUGCCCCCAUGUCUUUGGUUGGGGCGACCGCGGGGGAACAAAAAGCCCCCAUGUGGAGUGAGAGUACUUCUCCCACAACCAAGAGCGACAGCUCUAAGUAACAGAAUUUCUGACCAUCAAGAUCCGGCCAAGCCGAUCAACGAAACGAGUUACCCCAGGGAUAACAGCGCAAUCCUCUUUUAGAGCCCAUAUCGACAAGAGGGUUUACGACCUCGAUGUUGGAUCAGGACAUCCUAAUGGUGCAGCCGCUAUUAAGGGUUCGUUUGUUCAACGAUUAACAGUCCUACGUGAUCUGAGUUCAGACCGGAGUAAUCCAGGUCAGUUUCUAUCUAUGUAAUGAUUUCUUCUAGUACGAAAGGACCGAAGAAAAGAGGCCUAUGCUCUCAGUACGCCUCCUCCUUACCUAAUGAAGACAACUAAAAUAGGCAAAAGGGCAUGCCCCCCCAGCCUGAGAUAACGGCGU
rnacentral:rRNA from 1 species